CGGGUGGUAAUGCCGGAUGCUCCAUCACACCGCAUGGUGUGUUGGGAAAGCCUUUGCGGCAUGGGAUGGGGUCGCGUCCUAUCAGCUUGAUGGCGGGGUAACGGCCCACCAUGGCUUCGACGGGUAGCCGGCCUGAGAGGGCGACCGGCCACAUUGGGACUGAGAUACGGCCCAGACUCCUACGGGAGGCAGCAGUGGGGAAUAUUGCACAAUGGGCGCAAGCCUGAUGCAGCGACGCCGCGUGAGGGAUGGAGGCCUUCGGGUUGUAAACCUCUUUUGUUAGGGAGCAAGGCACUUUGUGUUGAGUGUACCUUUCGAAUAAGCACCGGCUAACUACGUGCCAGCAGCCGCGGUAAUACGUAGGGUGCAAGCGUUAUCCGGAAUUAUUGGGCGUAAAGGGCUCGUAGGCGGUUCGUCGCGUCCGGUGUGAAAGUCCAUCGCUUAACGGUGGAUCCGCGCCGGGUACGGGCGGGCUUGAGUGCGGUAGGGGAGACUGGAAUUCCCGGUGUAACGGUGGAAUGUGUAGAUAUCGG
rnacentral:rRNA from 1 species